rnacentral:rRNA from 1 species
GAUGAACGCUAGCGGCAGGCCUAACACAUGCAAGUCGAGGGGCAGCGAGAGGUAGCAAUACUUUGUCGGCGACCGGCGCACGGGUGCGUAACGCGUAUGCAACCUACCUAUAACAGGGGGAUAAUCAAGAGAAAUUUUGUCUAAUACCCCGUAAUACUAAAAACGGCAUCGUUUAUAGUUGAAAGAUUUAUUGGUUAUAGAUGGGCAUGCGUGACAUUAGCUAGAUGGUGAGGUAACGGCUCACCAUGGCUACGAUGUACUAGGGGAACUGAGAGGUUUAUCCCCCACACUGGUACUGAGACACGGACCAGACUCCUACGGGAGGCAGCAGUGAGGAAUAUUGGUCAAUGGACGCAAGUCUGAACCAGCCAUGCCGCGUGCAGGAAGACGGCUCUAUGAGUUGUAAACUGCUUUUAUAAGAGAAUAAAAAUAGCCACGAGUGGUUAAAUUGAAUGUAUCUUACGAAUAAGGAUCGGCUAACUCCGUGCCAGCAGCCGCGGUAAUAC